rnacentral:lncRNA from 1 species
UCUAUGGUAAGAGACAGUCAAACCUUAAAGAGAAGAUUGAAUCAUUGAUGGCAGCUGAGGAUGAUAACAAAUUUUGCUCAUACGGAAGAAAAUUGUUUUUGGAUCAACGGUAUAAGUAAGGAGGGCUGUAAAGGAGUGAAGUCGAAUCCUGAUGGACUGUAAAUGAAGAAAAGAUGAGGUGAUCUUUUCCUUAUGGAUGCAGCAUGAUCUAUUUUGACUUAUUAUAUAUUCCAUUGUUAUUGUUAUUAUAUAGUUGUGUAUAUAUUUUUGUAUUAUAAGUAAAUAUAGGAGUAUGUCAGUCUUUGUAUUUUUAA